UGUUAGCUCUAUCUUGAAAACAUAUCCCCAGAAAUACAAAAUCAACAUCAAAAUAAUGGACACGGCUAAGGCAUCACGAGAAUUUUCUUUGCCAUGAUUUUCUGUUUAGACACAGUUCUUGAAGGGAUUUUCACAAAAUAUAAUUCUGUAUGUUUCAAGGCAGAAGGGGGCCAUAUGGUCUAUACAAACCCAUCCACCUGUCUGUCUAAUGUUUAUACCAUGGAACUUUCUUCAUCCUUGUCCGGCUCUUCUUCGAAUACACUCACAGUGCAUGUUGCAUUGUUGCCUUAGGUGGACAGCUCUGCACGAUAAUUAUUCUCUGUGUAAAGAAGGUGGGUACCUUUUUUUAUUCUUCCUAAAAGCUGAAGGGGAAAAGGCUGACCACGUCAAACCGGAAUCGUAUACUAGCAGGUGGGCAUUUAAUUGGGAAACAAAAGCAACCUAACACUAAUUUGCAGGCGUGUUCAGAUUUCAUGAGUAAUUGCCAUGGAGAAGGUAACUUGGGGGCAGGCUCGGAGGAGCUGAACAACAGACACGUCUAAAUAUGGCUGUGGCAUUUGUAACAUACGCUCUUCGCCUAGAGGUGUGAGCAAAAGAGAAGGGUUGUUCCCGGAGGUAAACUUUGAAUCAGGAGAUAAAGGAUAUCUUUCAAAGGGGGCUGCAGAUCAUUGCUAGAGUCAGACGUCCUCUCUGAGGGGCUGGGUGCUGUAUCGCAGUGGUGUUGGAUUGAUGGAGGUGCUGUUGCCUGAGGCUGAAUCUCUCCUGCCAAAGCCACGAGAAAGCUGUGCCUGUGAUCUUGAGGGGAGAGUCCGCAUUUUAGCAUCAGAUAGCCUAUGCAAGACCUAUGAACAUGGCUUGCACCUAACACGUGCUCAACAAACAGAAGUUGUGGGCUUUCAAGGUUGUCUUGAAGGCAGUGUCCAGAUGGAAACUUUUGAGGGACCUGGUGUUCUAAUCCAGCACUGGAUGCCUUGAUGAAUGUCUUACUUCAGAGAAGGCAAUGACACCCUACUCCAGUACUCUUGCCUGGAAAAUCC